CGCCUGUUAACAAAAACAUGUCCUUUUGAAUAUAUUUAAGGUCUAACCUGCCCAAUGAGGGUUUUAAAUGGCCGCAGUAUUUUGACUGUGCAAAGGUAGCAUAAUUAUUAGUUUUUUAAUUGAAAGCUUGUAUGAAGGGUUGGACGAGAUAAAAUCUGUCUUUAUUUGAAUUAAAAUAGAAUUUAACUUUUAAGUCAAAAGGCUUAAAUUUUAAUAAAAGACGAGAAGACCCUAUAGAUCUUUAUUUAGUUGGAAUUUUAAUAAUUUAGGAUUAUUUUAGUUUAAAGUUUUGGCUAAAUUUUAUUGGGGUAAUAUAAAGAUUAAAAAAAUUCUUUUUAUUUAUAACAUAAAUUUAUGAAUAUAUGAUCCAAUAUUAUUGAUUAUAAGAUUAAGUUACCUUAGGGAUAACAGCGUAAUUUUUUUGGAGAGCUCAUAUCGAUAAAAAAGUUUGCGA
rnacentral:rRNA from 1 species